GAAUUUGUCGAACCGGCUACAUGUAAUAUCUGUAAUGGUCAUGUGAUGCACAGUCACCAAUUUCCAACAAACUAAAGGUGAAUUUCGGUACCUUCAGGAAGAGGAUGUUCAACAAAUUUCCUAUCAGAUGUACCUGAAAAUUUUGAAUAUGAUUUUUACUCCAAAUCCAAGUAUUUCAGGUUCAGAAUUUGAACAUUAGCAUAUGUCUUUAUGCAGAGCCAUUGAUAACUAUCUCAAAGAGAUAUAAGUAAAGAAGGUCUCGACCAACUUUGUUUUAUUUUUCAAUUUUUAUUUUUCAAAUACUUUACCCACAUGUGCAUAUACAUAUCAAAUUUUGUGUUUGUGUGUCUGCUAUUCGGGCAUUAAGAUAUUGUUUAUUUCUAUUUUCCGUAUUAUACGAAUGUCUUAGAAAAAGAAAAAUUGAACUGAACUUCUAAAUCUUUUUAUAUUUCGGAGAGAGAGAGAGAGAGAGAGAGAGAGAGAGAGAGAGAGAGAGAGAGAGAGAGAGAGAGAGAGAGAGAGAAGAUAUACAAUGUCAGCGGUUUCUAAUCGAUUAUAUCAAAAUGCUACUUCAUGUAAUCAAUUAUUCAUUGGUUACAUUUUUGAGUAAUCAUGUCUAUUCCUGGUGCUAUUCUAAUGUUCUUCAUACUCUUUUGUGUGCCAUUUCGAGUCUGUUUUAUGGAAUGUUUUUACAAAGCAUCAUUUUUUAUCUUCUACAUUUUUAAGUAUAACGCACAUCUAUAUAGUUUGGAUAUAUAUCAUUACUUGAGAAAUGCAAACUUUAUCAAACGAACUAUUUGUGUAAAGUUUUUGACAAAGGAGAAAGUAAGUAAAUCCGAUAUUUCAUGAUUUUUUCCACGAACGUUUGAUAUUUGGAUACCUUGAUCUCAUUAUUAGAAAAAUAACCUACGGAUUUUUGUUUGUACAGUAGCAGAAACAUAUUAGGUACAUUUUACGGAUGAAAGCACAACUAUCAUUUUAUAGCUAGAGCUUGAUGCGUUUCUAUCCCAAUGCAAAAUAAUAUUGACCUUGGAAAGACAAUACAUUGACUAGCCAUUUAUUCGCAAAGCUAGUCUAAAAAAAACAUUCAUUAAAUGUUUUCAUCGUUUUGUGUAAAUUCAUACGAUUAUACAUAUACAUGUAAUUCAGAUGUAUGUUUAAUUUUUUUUUCAUAGUUUUCUUUUGUUUGUUAGUUGUUGUAAAUAUGCUCACAAAAAUGCAUCAAACCUUUUGUUAUUCUAUAUUAUAUUGAGGGAUUUAUAUUAAGAUAUAAACAGCAUAAAAUU
rnacentral:sRNA from 1 species